UAGACUUCAUACGAGGUGCUGCAUGGCUGUCGUCAGCUCGUGCCGUGAGGUGUUAGGUUAAGUCCUGCAACGAGCGCAACCCCUGUUUCCAGUUGCCAUCAAGUAAAGUUGGGGACUCUGGAGAGACUGCCUGCGCAAGCAGAGAGGAAGGUGGGGAUGACGUCAAGUCAGCACGGCCCUUACGUCCAGGGCUACACACGUGCUACAAUGGCCGGUACAGAGGGCAGCGACCUGGUGACAGGUAGCGAAUCUCCAAAGCCGGUCUCAGUUCGGAUCGGAGUCUGCAACUCGACUCCGUGAAGCUGGAUUCGCUAGUAAUCGGAUAUCAGCAAUGAUCCGGUGAAUACGUUCCCGGGCCUU
rnacentral:rRNA from 1 species